CGCCUGUUAACAAAAACAUGUCCUUUUGAAUAUAUUUAAGGUCUGACCUGCCCAAUGAGGAUUUAAAUGGCCGCAGUAUUUUGACUGUGCAAAGGUAGCAUAAUUAUUAGUUUUUUAAUUGAAAGCUUGUAUGAAAGGUUGGACGAGCUAAGAACUGUCUCUAGAUAAAUUAAAAUAGAAUUUAACUUUUAAGUCAAAAGGCUUAAAUAUUUAUAAAAGACGAGAAGACCCUAUAGAUCUUUAUUUAAUGAAAAUUUUAAUUAUUUAAGAUUAUUUUAAUUUAGAAUUUUAAUUGAAUUUUAUUGGGGUAAUAUAAAGAUUAAAUAAAUUCUUUUUAGUAUUUACAUUGAUUUAUGUAUGUAUGAUCCAGUAAUAUUGAUUAUAAGAUUAAGUUACCUUAGGGAUAACAGCGUAAUUUUUUUGGAGAGCUCAUAUCGAUAAAAAAGUUUGCGA
rnacentral:rRNA from 1 species